GUGCUUACACAUGCAAGUCGAACGGUGAACACGGAGCUUGCUCUGUGGGAUCAGUGGCGAACGGGUGAGUAACACGUGAGCAACCUGCCCCUGACUCUGGGAUAAGCGCUGGAAACGGCGUCUAAUACUGGAUAUGUGACGUGACCGCAUGGUCUGCGUCUGGAAAGAAUUUCGGUUGGGGAUGGGCUCGCGGCCUAUCAGCUUGUUGGUGAGGUAAUGGCUCACCAAGGCGUCGACGGGUAGCCGGCCUGAGAGGGUGACCGGCCACACUGGGACUGAGACACGGCCCAGACUCCUACGGGAGGCAGCAGUGGGGAAUAUUGCACAAUGGGCGCAAGCCUGAUGCAGCAACGCCGCGUGAGGGACGACGGCCUUCGGGUUGUAAACCUCUUUUAGCAGGGAAGAAGCGAAAGUGACGGUACCUGCAGAAAAAGCGCCGGCUAACUACGUGCCAGCAGCCGCGGUAAUACGUAGGGCGCAAGCGUUAUCCGGAAUUAUUGGGCGUAAAGAGCUCGUAGGCGGUUUGUCGCGUCUGCUGUGAAAUCCGGAGGCUCAACCUCCGGCCUGCAGUGGGUACGGGCAGACUAGAGUGCGGUAGGGGAGAUUGGAAUUCCUGGUGUAGCGGUGGAAUGCGCAGAUAUCAGGAGGAACACCGAUGGCGAAGGCAGAUCUCUGGGCCGUAACUGACGCUGAGGAGCGAAAGGGUGGGGAGCAAACAGGCUUAGAUACCCUGGUAGUCCACCCCGUAAACGUUGGGAACUAGUUGUGGGGUCCAUUCCACGGAUUCCGUGACGCAGC
rnacentral:rRNA from 1 species